UACGUAGGGACCAAGCGUUGUUCGGAUUUACUGGGCGUAAAGGGCGCGUAGGCGGCGUGGUAAGUCACUUGUGAAAUCUCUGAGCUUAACUCAGAACGGUCAAGUGAUACUGCUGUGCUAGAGUGCGGAAGGGGCAAUCGGAAUUCUUGGUGUAGCAGUGAAAUGCGUAGAUAUCAAGAGGAACACCAGUGGCGAAGGCGAGUCCCCUGGACAACUUCUGACGCUGAUGCACGAAAGCUGGGGGAGCAAACAGG
rnacentral:rRNA from 1 species